UCAUAUUAUCAAGCAUCUCUCUACCCGGGUAGCCAAGUGAAAGUGUACGUACUUAACCGUACCAUAGUCCAUCCGGAUGCAUCCCCAGAUGUGUAUUGAUUGGGGAGCCACCAAUUAAUUGUUAAUUGUGUGAAGACAGCAUAUUGUACAUAGUGUAGCAUAAUACACAGCAUAUUGUACUUGCAUAACGGAUAAACCUGAAAAUGGGUCGUACCAAGUGUGAAAUCAUAUUAAAGGAAAAGUCGAAAAUAUAUUUCCCUUCGGAAACUGUGCAAGGAACUGUGAAAGUAUGCACAAAAUCUGCCACAAAUAUUUCAAACUUCAGACUUUCAGAAAUGGAGCUAAUCCUGCUCGGUCAAGGAAACUUCGGGACAGAUAACCACCAACCAUUUCCAGUAUACAGUGAGACAAAAUCCAUUCAGCUGAAUAAAAUAUUGCCCUCAGGAGUGGAACGGUUCCCCAUAAAUUGGACCCUACCCUUCGGCCUCAUCUCAAGCUUUAAGUGGCGAUCUGGGUGUGUCAACUACCAUUUUGUGGUAAAGAUUGGAGUGAAACAGCGUCAUGGUUGUGCUGAGGAUGAAGUAGUCACUAGUGCCCCAGUUCCAAUUGGGAUCCACAACAGCGUCGACCUCAACCACCUGUGUUUGAGCUCGGUCCUUGCGACUACCCGUCCCAAGCGUAACUCUGAUUGAGAACCGUAGAGCUUAAGUGUCUGGUCUUAAAAACAAGACCCGUUGGUCAAAAAAACUAUACUUGAAUGCAAAAUAAACUGAGAAAGAGAUACUCUUUGGCUUUA